rnacentral:rRNA from 1 species
AGUUAACGCUGGCAGCGUGCGAUAACACAUGCAAGUCGAACGAGACUAUCUGCGAUUACAUCAAGGGUAGUCUAGUGGCAGACGAGUGAGUAACACGUAAGGAAUCUACCCUCAAGAUGGGGGAUAACGCGUCGAAAGACGCGCUAAUACCCAGUACAAUCUUCCGUCGGUCAUCGGCGGGGGAUGAAAGGCGUAAGCCGCUUGUGGAUGACCUUGCGACCUANCGGCUAGUUGGUGAGGUAACGGUCCC